AUACGGAGGAUCCGAGCGUUAUCCGGAUUUAUUGGGUUUAAAGGGAGCGUAGGAGGAUUGUUAAGUCAGUUGUGAAAGUUUGCGGCUCAACCGUAAAAUUGCAGUUGAAACUGGCAGUCUUGAGUACAGUAGAGGUGGGCGGAAUUCGGGGUGUCGCGGUGAAAUGCUUAGAUAUCACGAAGAACUCCGAUUGCGAAGGCAGCUCACCAGACCGUUACUGACACUGAUGCUCGAAAGUGUGGGUAUCAAACAGGAUUAGAUACCCUGGUAGUCCACACAGUAAACGAUGAAUACUCGCUGUUUGCGAUAUACAGUAAGCGGCCAAGCGAAAGCAUUAAGUAUUCCACCUGGGGAGUACGCCGGCAACGGUGAAACUCAAAUGAAUUGGCGGGG
rnacentral:rRNA from 1 species